GCAUCGGUGGUUCAGCGGUAGAAUGCUCGCCUGCCACGCGGGCGGCCUGGGUUCGAUUCCCGGCCGAUGCA
rnacentral:tRNA from 1 species